rnacentral:rRNA from 1 species
UACAGAGGGGGCAAGCGUUAUUCGGAAUUAUUGGGCGUAAAGGGCGCGUAGGCGGCCUGGCAAGUGACGGGUGAAAUCCCUCGGCUUAACCGAGGAACUGCCUGUCAGACUGCUUGGCUUGAGACCGGGAGAGGUGAGUGGAAUUCCCAGUGUAGCGGUGAAAUGCGUAGAUAUCAGGAGGAACACCAAUUGCGAAGGCAGCUCGCUGGGACGUAACUGACGCUGAGACGCGAAAGCGUGGGGAGCAAACAGG